CUGGAGAUGAUGCAUCAUAUUAUUUAACUGACUCUCAUUGAUGGUCUUUGUAUUCAUACUGUCUGAUCCAG